rnacentral:rRNA from 2 species
UGGGGAAUAUUGGGCAAUGGGCGCAAGCCUGACCCAGCAACGCCGCGUGAGUGAAGAAGGCCUUCGGGUCGUAAAACUCUGUCCUUAGGGAAGAAUAAUGACGGUACCUAAGGAGGAAGCUCCGGCUAACUACGUGCCAGCAGCCGCGGUAAUACGUAGGGAGCAAGCGUUGUCCGGAAUUACUGGGCGUAAAGGGUGCGUAGGCGGUUAUGUAAGUCAGAUGUGAAAUACCCGGGCUCAACCUGGGGGGUGCAUUUGAAACUGUGUGACUUGAGUGCAGGAGAGGAAAGCGGAAUUCCUGGUGUAGCGGUGGAAUGCGUAGAUAUCAGGAGGAACACCGGUGGCGAAGGCGGCUUUCUGGACUGUAACUGACGCUGAGGCACGAAAGCGUGGGGAGCGAACAGG